AUGAACGCUAGCUACAGGCUUAACACAUGCAAGUCGAGGGGCAGCAUGGUCUUAGCUUGCUAAGGCCGAUGGCGACCGGCGCACGGGUGAGUAACACGUAUCCAACCUGCCGUCUACUCUUGGACAGCCUUCUGAAAGGAAGAUUAAUACAAGAUGGCAUCAUGAGUUCACAUGUUCACAUGAUUAAAGGUAUUCCGGUAGACGAUGGGGAUGCGUUCCAUUAGAUAGUAGGCGGGGUAACGGCCCACCUAGUCUUCGAUGGAUAGGGGUUCUGAGAGGAAGGUCCCCCACAUUGGAACUGAGACACGGUCCAAACUCCUACGGGAGGCAGCAGUGAGGAAUAUUGGUCAAUGGGCGCAGGCCUGAACCAGCCAAGUAGCGUGAAGGAUGACUGCCCUAUGGGUUGUAAACUUCUUUUAUAAAGGAAUAAAGUCGGGUAUGUAUACCCGUUUGCAUGUACUUUAUGAAUAAGGAUCGGCUAACUCCGUGCCAGCAGCCGCGGUAAUACGGAGGAUCCGAGCGUUAUCCGGAUUUAUUGGGUUUAAAGGGAGCGUAGAUGGAUGUUUAAGUCAGUUGUGAAAGUUUGCGGCUCAACCGUAAAAUUGCAGUUGAUACUGGAUAUCUUGAGUGCAGUUGAGGCAGGCGGAAUUCGUGGUGUAGCGGUGAAAUGCUUAGAUAUCACGAAGAACUCCGAUUGCGAAGGCAGCCUGCUAAGCUGCAACUGACAUUGAGGCUCGAAAGUGUGGGUAUCAAACAGGAUUAGAUACCCUGGUAGUCCACACGGUAAACGAUGAAUACUCGCUGUUUGCGAUAUACAGUAAGCGGCCAAGCGAAAGCGUUAAGUAUUCCACCUGGGGAGUACGCCGGCAACGGUGAAACUCAAAGGAAUUGACGGGGGCCCGCACAAGCGGAGGAACAUGUGGUUUAAUUCGAAGCAACGCGAAGAACCUUACCAAGUCUUGACAUCCCCCUGACCGGACAGUAAUGUGUCCUUUCCUUCGGGACAGGGGAGACAGGUGGUGCAUGGUUGUCGUCAGCUCGUGCCGUGAGGUGUCGGCUUAAGCGCCAUAACGAGCGCAACCCUUGUUGUCAGUUACUAACAGGUUCCGCUGAGGACUCUGACAAGACUGCCAUCGUAAGAUGUGAGGAAGGUGGGGAUGACGUCAAAUCAGCACGGCCCUUACGUCCGGGGCUACACACGUGUUACAAUGGGGGGUACAGAGGGCCGCUACCACGCGAGUGGAUGCCAAUCCCCAAAACCUCUCUCAGUUCGGACUGGAGUCUGCAACCCGACUCCACGAAGCUGGAUUCGCUAGUAAUCGCGCAUCAGCCACGGCGCGGUGAAUACGUUCCCGGGCCUUGUACACACCGCCCGUCAAGCCAUGGGAGCCGGGGGUACCUGAAGUGCGUAACCGCGAGGAGCGCCCUAGGGUAAAACUGGUGACUGGGGCU
rnacentral:rRNA from 1 species